rnacentral:rRNA from 1 species
CUUGGGAAUCUGGCUUAUGGAGGGGGAUAACUACGGGAAACUGUAGCUAAUACCGCGUAGUAUCGGAAGAUGAAAGUGCGGGACCGCAAGGCCGCAUGCCAUGAGAUGAGCCCAAGUGGGAUUAGGUAGUUGGUGGGGUAAAGGCCUACCAAGCCUGCGAUCUCUAGCUGGUCUGAGAGGAUGGCCAGCCACACUGGAGCUGAGACACGGUCCAG